CUGAAUUUAGAUUUAGUAAAUGGUGAUGAUGAUUUGGAUGAAAAUGACUGGGAAUUCAAGGAUGCCUUCUAAGAAGGCACAGUUGGAAAUGGGAAUCCUGAAUUUGAGAUUGUAGAUGCACAUCAAAACUUUUCCGCUGAACUAAAGCUAAAGAAUUUUGUAGGUUUCUACUCUAGAUUGAAAGACGAAGCACGAUUUUUCAUACUUGACCAUCUUGAUGAUCUCAAGAAAGCCAAGAAGGAUGCUGCUCUUUCUAGUGAUGAAGUAAAGGUUAUGGCCUUUGAUAAGGAAAUUCAGUUCACUUUUGGGGGUGUGGUAUUUCUUCCUUAGGAUGCUUCAGUUUAGUAAUUCCAGGUUUGUGCUAGUAAAAGUAUGAAAUACAAUAUACAGGUCACCUAGAACUUCAAUUAUUUUACUUGGGCUAAUGAUGGUUAAUCAUCUACAUUGUUGGAGCUACUUUUGUAGCCUACUUGUGCUGCUGUCUUCAAUGUCACUCAGUUGUCGUAUACCUGGUUGUUUAGUACAUAAGGCUGUGAUCAGGAGUUGAGUAUCAGUUGUUUACUAAUGGGAUCUAUUUUGGGUAGGAUAUGGAUUAAAAGGUUGUGAAUUAAACAAGUUUCUAUUAGGAAGCAUAAUGCUAGUAUUUCAAGUCAGACAUGGACCAGAAUCGGUUCCCAGAGUUGUCCGUACAUCAUCCAACUGGAUUCAAUUAGCUUGAGGAGAGGCUCCUAAUCUGCUUUAAUUUGACAUUUGUUCCGUUUCAGCCAAUGGAGAUAUAUGUGGAUGAUGAGGCCAAGUUGACCUUGCAUGGUCUCGUACAGGUACUCGAUAGUUUCUGA